rnacentral:tmRNA from 1 species
GGGGGCGUAAAGGUUUCGACGGGGAUUCGGAAGUAUGGUAAGCGAGUAGGGGCGCAUGAACCCUUUAACAACAUGCAACUUAAAUUUAAACGCUGAAGAUAAUAAUUUAGCUUUUGCUGCUUAAUUAAGCAGCCAUCCGAACCGGAAGGACCACGAGCCGGCUAGGGUGUAACUUUAGUGGUGAACGUCCUCCGGGAGUUCCACGGCCCGGUUGAUGUAUUAGGGAUACCAAGCGUCAUAGCCUGCCUGUCGGCGAUGACGUAAGGGAAUGCAAAUGACAGGCUACACUCGUAGAAAGCUGUAUGGAUGAGUUUUCGGACAGGGGUUCGAUUCCCCUCGCCUCCAUCG